rnacentral:rRNA from 1 species
GACGAACGCUGGCGGCGUGCUUAACACAUGCAAGUCGAACGGAAAGGCCCUGCUUUUGUGGGGUGCUCGAGUGGCGAACGGGUGAGUAACACGUGAGUAACCUGCCCUUGACUUUGGGAUAACUUCAGGAAACUGGGGCUAAUACCGGAUAGGAGCUCCUGCUGCAUGGUGGGGGUUGGAAAGUUUCGGCGGUUGGGGAUGGACUCGCGGCUUAUCAGCUUGUUGGUGGGGUAGUGGCUUACCAAGGCUUUGACGGGUAGCCGGCCUGGGAGGGUGACCGGCCACAUUGGGACUGCGAUACGGCCCAGACUCCUACGGGAGGCAGCAGUGGGGAAUAUUGCGCAAUGGGCGGAAGCCUGAUGCAGCAACGCCGCGUGCGGGAUGACGGCCUUCGGGUUGUAAACCGCUUUCGCCUGUGACGAAGCGUGAGUGACGGUAAUGGGUAAAGAAGCACCGGCUAACUACGUG